rnacentral:rRNA from 1 species
GUUAAAAAGCUCGUAGUUGGAUUUCUGUGGGGACGGGGCGGCCGGUCGCAACUUGCGACUCGAGCUAGCACUUUCCCCACAUCCUGCCGCGAACCGUGCUACCAUUAGUUUGGUGGCGCCGGGGAUCGGCUCGAUUACUUUGAGAAAAAUAGAGUGUUCAAAGCAGGCCACACGCCUUGAAUAAGUUAGCAUGGAAUAAUGACUAAGGACUUUGGUUCUUUUCGUUGGUGUUCGGGACUGAAGUAAUGAUUGAUAGGGACAGUUGGGGCGGUCUGUAUUCCAAAGCGAGAGGUGAAAUUCUUAGACCUUCGGAAGACAAACAGCUGCGAAAGCGUUCCGCAAGGAUGUUCCCUUUGAUCAAGAACGAAAGUUGGGGGAUCGAAGACGAUCAGAUACCGUCGUAGUCUCAACUAUAAACUAUACCAGCUAGGGAUCGGCCAACGUUUAAUUAUUCGACUUGGUCGGCACCUUAUGAGAAAUCAAAGCAUCUGGGUUCCGGGGGGAGUAUGGUCGCAAGGCUGAAACUUAAAGGAAUUGACGGAAGGGCACCACCAGCCGUGGAGCCUGUGGGCUUAAUUUGACUCAACAC